GACCAAAUACCGUCAGAUCGCACCAGCUAAUUGUUUAGUUAUAAUUAAUUUUUGAUCCGGUUGCUAGCACGCCUGCGCAGUUCGCCUGCGUGCGACUGUGCCUAUCGCGCUGGCUUUUACGGGCUAUUCUCGUUCGAAGUGUCGUCGCGAUUCCGAUUCCGAUCGUCGCCUUUUUUUUAUUACUUGCCAUCGGUGGCAUAGAAUUUGUUGUUUUAUUUACGCAAUUGUGCUCAAGGCGUAUGUGACGCGGGCGAUUCGUGUUUGAUGGUGGCUCUCAAUUCCGUAACGGUAUUGAGACCAUCGUUAUUCGUCGUGCACACGGAUGCCAAACGUGUUAGACACCAGCGCGGGCGGUGUGCGGUUUGUCAUUACCUUUUGUUUUGUGAAUUUAUGGUGCACCGGGCAUCGAUAAAUUAACGGUAAUGCGUAUUAUGUUUUUGUUAUUUUGUUCGACAGUGCAUCGGGCCGUUUUUUUGACUUUCGAAUUGUUUUAUUUCGUCUAUUGAAGUCAAGCAUAUGCACGUGGGUUGCGGAUCUUGGCGGUCAACAGCAUAUCGUCCAUUUUGAGAGGUUAUGGUUCAAUCGGCGACAUGUUCACGGUAACGCGUUAUCACACAUGUGAUACGCGAUAUUUUAUAUCUUUGUAUUAUCAUUUUUUGUUUUGUUGAUACUAUAAUCAUUUUUUUUUAUUAUUAUUUAUUCUCAUUAUUAUUAUAUUACCACUGAUUUGUUCAUUUUAGUAUUAUUAUAAUACAUUUUUGAUUAUAUAUAUUAGGUGGGCGCCUACUCCCCAUAUAAGUUGUCAUUUUAUUUAAAUAUAAUAUGUAUUCCGUGUAUGUGAUGUACUGAUAUACUAUUUUAAUACAGUCCACAAUUAAUAUCUUAUUACAACAA